rnacentral:lncRNA from 13 species
AUGCAAUCUGAUUUUAAUUUUAUUUUCACAUUUCAGCCGACCGUCUUUGGGACGUUGACCAAUGAGAAGACACAUUAUGAUAACAAAAGACAUCUGAACCUAAUCACGGUUGGUCCUGGUUGGUCCUGGUUGGUCCUGGAUAGUCCUGGAAGGUCCUGGUUGGUCCUGGAUGGUCCUGGUUCGUCCUGGAUGGUCCUGGUUGGUCCUGGUUGGUCCUGGAUGGUCCUGGUUGGUCCUGGAUGGUCCUGGAUGGUCCUGGUUGGUCCUGGUUCGUCCUGGUUCGUCCUGGUUCGUCCUGGAUGGUCCUGGUUGGUCCUGGAUGGGAGACUAGAUGCUGCUGGAAGUGGUGUUGGGCGGCCAGUAGGAAGCACUUUUUCCCCUCGUCAAAAAAAUUAUAAACAUCCCAAUACCCCCAGGGCCUAGCAUUCAGAAAGUAUUCAGACCCCUUGACUUUUUCCACAUUUUGUUACGUUACAGCCUUAUUGUAAAAUGGGUUAAAUUGUUUUUUUGUUUCCUCAUCAAUCUACACACAAUACCCCAUAAUGACAAAGCAAAAACGGGUUUUAGAAAUGUUUGCGAAUGUAUUAAAAAUAAAAUACAGAAAUAUCACAUUUACAGUGCCUUGCGAAAGUAUUCGGCCCCCUUGAACUUUGCGACCUUUUUAUCCACAUUUCAGGCUUCAAACAUAAAGAUAUAAAACUGUAUUUUUUUGUGAAGAAUCAACAACAAGUGGGACACAAUCAUGAAGUGGAACGACAUUUAUUGGAUAUUUCAAACUUUUUUAACAAAUCAAAAACUGAAAAAUUGGGCGUGCAAAAUUAUUCAGCCCCUUUACUUUCAGUGCAGCAAACUCUCUCCAGAAGUUCAGUGAGGAUCUCUGAAUGAUCCAAUGUUGACCUAAAUGACUAAUGAUGAUAAAUACAAUCCACCUGUGUGUAAUAAAGUCUCCGUAUAAAUGCACCUGCACUGUGAUAGUCUCAGAGGUCCGUUAAAAGCGCAGAGAGCAUCAUGAAGAACAAGGAACACACCAGGCAGGUCCGAGAUACUGUUGUGAAGAAGUUUAAAGCCUGAUUUGGAUACAAAAAGAUUUCCCAAGCUUUAAACAUCCCAAGGAGCACUGUGCAAGUGAUAAUAUUGAAAUGGAAGGAGUAUCAGACCACUGCAAAUCUACCAAGACCUGGCCGUCCCUCUAAACUUUCAGCUCAUACAAGGAGAAGAUUGUACACUGUACAUACUGUAAGUAUUCAGAACAUUUACUCUGUACUUUGCAUCUUUGGUAACAAUUACAGCAUCAAGUCUUCUUGGGUAUGAUGCUACAAGCUUGGCACACCUGUAUUUGGGGAGUUUCUCCCAUUGUUCUCUGCAGAUCCUCUCAAGCUCUGUCAGGUUGGAUGGGGAGCGUCGCUGCACAGCUAUUUUCAGGUCUCUACAGAGAUGUUUGAUCGGGUUCAAGUCCGGGGGGUCAUUCAAGGACAUUCAGAGUCUUGCCCCGAAGCCACUCCUGCAUUGUCUUCAAAUAAAAUGUAUUGGUCACAUACACAUAUUUAGCAGAUGUUAUUGAGGGUGUAGCUAAAUGCUUGUGUUCCAAGCUCCAACAGUGCAGUAAUAUCUAACUAAAUGCUUGUGUUCCUAGCUCCAACAGUGCAGUAAUAUCUAACUAAAUGCUUGUGUUCCUAGCUCCAACAGUGCAGUAAUAUCUAACUAAAUGCUUGUGUUCCUAGCUCCAACAGGGCAGUAAUAUCUAACUAAAUGCUUGUGUUCCUAGCUCCAACAGUGCAGUAAUAUCUAACUAAAUGCUUGUGUUCCUAGCUCCAACAGUGCAGUAAUAUCUAACUAAAUGCUUGUGUUCCUAGCUCCAACAGUGCAGUAAUAUCUAACUAAAUGCUUGUGU